CCCCCAACUUCCAGUAUCAUUUACUUUUCCUAGAAUCUAGAUACAAUUAACUGUAGCAGGACAGUGCUCGAUACUAUUUAAGCAGCAUUUUAAGUUCUUUAAAUUAGCUCAUCAUUUGUAAACAUGAAUUCACAUUUUAGUAAAAAUGGAAACUAGAAUUUGACAUAACAAAUUUACUAAAUAUUGUUGUUAACUACAAAAUUUUUAUGUGAAACACGUGGUCUUAAUAUACCAGAAUUUGGCCUUUAUAAGUUAGCUUACACAUGAAAACUUUUACUGUAUAGGUCCUA